rnacentral:rRNA from 1 species
CCUACGGGAGGCAGCAGUGGGGAAUAUUGGGCAAUGGGCGCAAGCCUGACCCAGCAAUGCCGCGUGAAGGAAGAAGGCUUUCGGGUUGUAAACUUCUUUGACAGGGGAAGAGCAGAAGACGGUACCCUGAAAACAAGCCACGGCUAACUACGUGCCAGCAGCCGCGGUAAUACGUAGGUGGCAAGCGUUGUCCGGAUUUACUGGGUGUAAAGGGCGUGUAGCCGGGAAGGCAAGUCAGAUGUGAAAUCUGGAGGCUCAACCUCCAAAUUGCAUUUGGAACUGUUUUUCUUGAGUACUGGAGAGGCAGACGGAAUUCCUUGUGGAGCGGUGAAAUGCGUAGAGAUAAGGAGGAACACCAGUGGCGAAGGCGGUCUGCUGGACAGCAACUGACGGUGAGGCGCGAAAGCGUGGGGAGCAAACAGGAUUAGAUACCCCAGUAGU